GUAAAAGAAAUCAGAUUACAGUGUAUUUGGAGGUGGAAUAGGUGAUUGCCCUCUUUGUUUGGUUGCACUCUGGUAACGUAAUCAGAUUACUGUGUGGGUGCUAUAUUUGAUUACGGUGGGGGAGGAGGGGUAACAAGCUUGUAUAUAUAUUAUUUAGGUAAGGGAUUCGAUUACAGUGUCAAUUGAUUACAAACCACCGCAACCAAAC
rnacentral:lncRNA from 1 species